NNNNNNNNNNNNNNNNNNNNNNNNNNNNNCUCCAUGGCCUCUGCAUCAGCUCCUGCUCCCUGACCUGCUUGAGUUCCAGUCCUGACUUCUUUCAGUGAUAAACAGCAAUGUGGAAAUAUAAGUUGAAUAAGCUCUUUCCUCCCCAACUUGCUUCUUGGUCAUGAUGUUUGUGCAGGAAUAGAAACCCUGACUAAGACAGCAACUAACCAAUUACUUUCUAAAUGGAUUUAAGACGUGUACUGGCUAUUCCUGAUUGUCAACUUGAGUCUAUCUGGAAUGAACUACAAUCCAGAAUUGGAAGGCUCACCUGUGAUCCUAAUCUGGAGGCUGGGAGAUACAAGUUUCUGACAAUUUUGGCAUGGACAUCUUGAGGCAUAGUGACUUAUGUAUGCCAGAAGAUUAAGACAGGGAGAUCUCUGAGUUCAAAGUCAUCUGGGACAAAGCAAGUCCCAGAUCCAGGCGUGUUGACAAACACCUUUAAUCUGGGCCACACCUUCUGCUGGAGACCUACAUAAGGACAUUGGAAGAAGGAAGAUUUACUCUCUUCUUUGCCUGCUUGCGGUGUGGGACUGAGCAACUGCUAGAUCCUUGGACUUCAUUCACAUCUGCUGUUGACCAUUGUUGGAGAGCUGGACUACAGACUACCUUUGAACUGCAUUGAAAAUUAGGAAUAUCUGCCACACAAAAAAAAAAAAGAAGAAGUUCAAAGAUGCUCAGGGAGUAGUUCCUCCAUCCACAAAUUAUGCAGUCGAGUUUCCUCGAAUUUGGGGUCAAUACACACAGAGUGCAAUGGAUGAACCUCGCUCUGGAGAAAUCACCUGCAUAAUCAUGGUAUUUCCCCUUCCAGGAUUUAUACAGAAGCAGUCUUCCAAAUUCUGAAACCUGAUGCCCAUCACAUACUUUGGGCUGAGAAAAGAAAAUCAAACAUUUGUUUGAUGCAGCCUCCCUCCCUCAGCCUUCAAGCAGGCUGAUCCAGACUUUGACCUUGCUGCCGCUAAGAAGGCGAUUACCUAGGGUAGAGCCUUCUGACCUUGAUGGCUCUAUUUGCUCUUCUCCUUGACUCUGCUUCCAGCUGAAAGGUCCCUGAGACAGUCCAAAGACACACCCUGUAGAUCGCCUAAGGGCUGGCUCCAGGUACCAAGAAUGGGUUGGCAGGGGAUGGGCCUUCCCCCUUAUAAGCACACUCUCUUAAUAAACUCGGGGGCCUUG
ensembl:lincRNA